rnacentral:rRNA from 1 species
GGGUUGUGAGGUUAAGCGACUAAGCGUACACGGUGGAUGCCCUGGCAGUCAGAGGCGAUGAAGGGCGUGCUAAUCUGCGAUAAGCGCCGGUAAGGUGAUAUGAACCGUUAUAACCGGCGAUACCCGAAUGGGGAAACCCAGUGUGACUCGUCACACUAUCAUUAACUGAAUCCAUAGGUUAAUGAGGCGAACCGGGGGAACUGAAACAUCUAAGUACCCCGAGGAAAAGAAAUCAACCGAGAUUCCCCCAGUAGCGGCGAGCGAACGGGGAGGAGCCCAGAGCCUGAAUCAGCAUGUGUGUUAGUGGAAGCGUCUGGAAAGGCGCGCGAUACAGGGUGACAGCCCCGUACACAAAAGCGCAUGUGCUGUGAGCUCGAUGAGUAGGGCGGGACACGUGGUAUCCUGUCUGAAUAUGGGGGGACCAUCCUCCAAGGCUAAAUACUCCUGACUGACCGAUAGUGAACCAGUACCGUGAGGGAAAGGCGAAAAGAACCCCGGCGAGGGGAGUGAAAAAGAACCUGAAACCGUGUACGUACAAGCAGUGGGAGCACAGGUUUACCUGUGUGACUGCGUACCUUUUGUAUAAUGGGUCAGCGACUUAUAUUCUGUAGCAAGGUUAACCGAAUAGGGGAGCCGGAGGGAAACCGAGUCUUAAUUGGGCGUUAAGUUGCAGGGUAUAGACCCGAAACCCGGUGAUCUAGCCAUGGGCAGGUUGAAGGUUGGGUAACACUAACUGGAGGACCGAACCGACUAAUGUUGAAAAAUUAGCGGAUGACCUGUGGCUGGGGGUGAAAGGCCAAUCAAACCGGGAGAUAGCUGGUUCUCCCCGAAAGCUAUUUAGGUAGCGCCUCGUGAAUUCAUCUCCGGGGGUAGAGCACUGUUUCGGCUAGGGGGCCAUCCCGGCUUACCAACCCGAUGCAAACUGCGAAUACCGGAGAAUGUUAUCACGGGAGACACACGGCGGGUGCUAACGUCCGUCGUGAAGAGGGAAACAACCCAGACCGCCAGCUAAGGUCCCAAAGUCAUGGUUAAGUGGGAAACGAUGUGGGAAGGCCCAGACAGCCAGGAUGUUGGCUUAGAAGCAGCCAUCAUUUAAAGAAAGCGUAAUAGCUCACUGGUCGAGUCGGCCUGCGCGGAAGAUGUAACGGGGCUAAACCAUGCACCGAAGCUGCGGCAGCGACGUUUAUGCGUUGUUGGGUAGGGGAGCGUUCUGUAAGCCUGCGAAGGUGGCCUGUGAGGGUUGCUGGAGGUAUCAGAAGUGCGAAUGCUGACAUAAGUAACGAUAAAGCGGGUGAAAAGCCCGCUCGCCGGAAGACCAAGGGUUCCUGUCCAACGUUAAUCGGGGCAGGGUGAGUCGACCCCUAAGGCGAGGCCGAAAGGCGUAGUCGAUGGGAAACGGGUUAAUAUUCCCGUACUUGGUGUUACUGCGAAGGGGGGACGGAGAAGGCUAUGUUGGCCGGGCGACGGUUGUCCCGGUUUAAGCGUGUAGGUGUGUGUUCCAGGUA